UACGUAGGGUGCAAGCGUUGUCCGGAAUUAUUGGGCGUAAAGAGCUCGUAGGCGGUUUGUUGCGUCGGCUGUGAAAUCCCGAGGCUCAACCUCGGGUCUGCAGUCGAUACGAGCAAACUAGAGUGUUGCAGGGGAGACUGGAAUUCCUGGUGUAGCGGUGAAAUGCGCAGGAUAUCAGGAGGAACACCGGUGGCGAAGGCGGGUCUCUGGGCAACAACUGACGCUGGAGGAGCGAAA
rnacentral:rRNA from 1 species